rnacentral:rRNA from 1 species
UCGAACGGAAACCUUCGGGUUUUAGUGGCGAACGGGUGAGUAACACGUAAGCAACCUACCCUAAAGACGAGGAUAACCAUUGGAAACAGUGGCUAAGACUGGAUAGGAAGAUAAAAGGCAUCUUGUAUCUUUUAAAAGACCUAGUUAAUAGGUAUGCUUUAGGAGGGGCUUGCGCCAUAUUAGUUAGUUGGUAGGGUAAUGGCCUACCAAGACGAUGAUGUGUAGCUGGACUGAGAGGUUGAACAGCCACAUUGGGACUGAGACACGGCCCAAACUCCUACGGGAGGCAGCAGUAGGGAAUUUUCGGCAAUGGAGGAAACUCUGACCGAGCAACGCCGCGUGAAUGACGAAGUACUUCGGUAUGUAAAGUUCUUUUAUCGAGGAAGAAAAGCAAAUGGCGAACCAUUUGUUUGCCGGUACUUGAUGAAUAAGCCCCGGCUAAUUAUGUGCCAGCAGCCGCGGUAAGACAUAAGGGGCAAGUGUUAUCCGGAAUUAUUGGGCGUAAAGGGUGCGUAGGCGGUCUAGUAAGUCAGUGGUGUAAUGGCAACGCUUAACGUUGUCCGGCUAUUGAAACUGCUAAACUUGAGUUAGAUAGAGGCGAGUGGAAUUCCAUGUGUAGCGGUAAAAUGCGUAAAUAUAUGGAGGAACACCAGAGGCGUAGGCGGCUCGCUGGGUCUUAACUGACGCUGAGGCACGAAAGCGUGGGGAGCAAACAGGAUUAGAUACCCUGGUAGUCCACGCCGUAAACGAUGAGUACUAAGUGUCGGGUUAAACCGGUACUGAAGUUAACACAUUAAGUACUCCGCCUGAGUAGUACGUACGCAAGUAUGAAACUUAAAGGAAUUGACGGGACUCCGCACAAGCGGUGGAUCAUGUUGUUUAAUUCGAAGAUACCCGAAAAACCUUACCAGGUCUUGACAUGUUUUUGCAAAAUGAUAGUAAUAUCGUGGAGGUUACCAGAAACACAGGUGGUGCAUGGUUGUCGUCAGCUCGUGUCGUGAGAUGUUAGGUUAAGUCCUAAAACGAGCGAAACCCUUAUCGUUAGUUGCCAGCACGUUAUGGUGGGGACUUUAACGAGACUGCCAAUGAUAAAUUGGAGGAAGGUGAGGAUCACGUCAAAUCAGCAUGCCCCUUAUGACCUGGGCUACAAACGUGAUACAAUGGCUGUUACAAAGGGUAGCUGAAACGCAAGUUCUUGGCCAAUCCCCAAAAACAGUCCCAGUCCGGAUUGAAGUCUGCAACUCGACUUCAUGAAGUUGGAAUCGCUAGUAAUCGCGAAUCAGCAUGUCGCGGUGAAUACGUUCUCGGGGUUUGUACACACCGCCCGUCAAACCACGAAAGUUGGCAAUACCCCAAAACGGUAGCCUAACUCGUUUAUUCGAGAGGGCGCCGUCUAAGGUAGGGUCGAUGAUUGGGGUUAAGUCGUAACAAGGUAUCCCUACCGGAAGGUGGGGAUGGAUCACCUCCUUUCUAAGGAAACCAAUAAAAUCAAUCAUCUUCAGUUUUGAAAGACUUAGGCAAC